rnacentral:rRNA from 1 species
AUUGAACGCUGGCGGCAGGCCUAACACAUGCAAGUCGAGCGGAUGAAGGGAGCUUGCUCCUGGAUUCAGCGGCGGACGGGUGAGUAAUGCCUAGGAAUCUGCCUGGUAGUGGGGGAUAACGUCCGGAAACGGGCGCUAAUACCGCAUACGUCCUGAGGGAGAAAGUGGGGGAUCUUCGGACCUCACGCUAUCAGAUGAGCCUAGGUCGGAUUAGCUAGUUGGUGGGGUAAAGGCCUACCAAGGCGACGCUCCGUAACUGGUCUGAGAGGAUGAUCAGUCACACUGGAACUGAGAAACGGUCCAGACUCCUACGGGAGGCAGCAGUGGGGAAUAUUGGACAAUGGGCGAAAGCCUGAUCCAGCCAUGCCGCGUGUGUGAAGAAGGUCUUCGGAUUGUAAAGCACUUUAAGUUGGGAGGAAGGGCAGUAAGUUAAUACCUUGCUGUUUUGACGUUACCAACAGAAUAAGCACCGGCUAACUUCGUG